rnacentral:sRNA from 1 species
GUUUUGCGUUAGCGAUUGAAACGGCAUCCUUUUUAAAAUUUAUUUGUACUUAAUAACUUUGGAACUAAAUUUAAGAUGAUUACCACAAAACUUUGUACUUGACAAUAACAUUUUAAAAAGAUAUAGUGUAAAGCGCGACCCUUG